GACGAACGCUGGCGGCGUGCUUAACACAUGCAAGUCGAACGGAAAGGCCCUGCUUUUGUGGGGUGCUCGAGUGGCGAACGGGUGAGUAACACGUGAGUAACCUGCCCUUGACUUUGGGAUAACUUCAGGAAACUGGGGCUAAUACCGGAUAGGAGCUCCUGCUGCAUGGUGGGGGUUGGAAAGUUUCGGCGGUUGGGGAUGGACUCGCGGCGUAUCAGCUUGUUGGUGGGGUAGUGGCUUACCAAGGCCUUGACGGGUAGCCGGCCUGCGAGGGUGACCGGCCACAUUGGGACUGAGCUACGGCCCAGCCUCCUACGGGCGGCAGCAGUGAGGACUAUUCCACAAUGGGCGGAGGCCUGAUGCAGCAACGCCGCCUGCGGGAUGACGGCCUUCGGGUUGUAACCCGCUUUCGCCUCUGACGAAGCGUGAGUGACGGUACUGGGUAGAGAAGCACCGGCUAACUACGUG
rnacentral:rRNA from 1 species